GUGCGCUCGAGGACAGGUCAUUUAUACCACUGUUUUGCGACACCGUCUUUUAUACUAUGCCAUUCAAUUCCGACUGCAAGCUCGCAAAUCGGUAUUUCGUUCAAGCACCGAAACAAACUGUAGAGUAAGAAGAACGCGCAUGCGCAAGAACACGACGCUCAGAAGGGAAGACAAUUCUCCAGCGGUAUCUAGAAAGUGUUUCUCCCUUGAUUGCCAAGGUAUUUUUCCUUUCCAAAGCCAUCAAGUCAUAAGUGUCAGAGCCCAAUGGUUCAACACAUUUCUUUCGGAUAUGCCCCUGUAGGUAUGUUAGUAAGUUACUUUCACUAUUCUAGUUUCAGCAGGCUCUUAAACUCAAACAUGCUCCCCGAUUUAGAUUUGUGAGCUGGAGGACUCACCAACUGGAGGCCCAACGCAGCCAUGGAAACACUCCACAAAACACCUGUCAGACCUGCCCCUGUUCAAACACCUGCUGCAGGAAUCAGAGUCUACCAUCAGGGCUUUGCCUGAGAUGUUUAGGUUCUGCUCACCAUCACCACGAGAGAGCAACAAGGUUUUGGGGCUGUUAUGGGAACCGGAUUUGGACAGUGAUCCAGUUUUUUAGCGUGGAAAAACAUAGCCGGGUUUCAGAUUGGGCAUUGGCUCCAGCCCCAGUACAAAAGGAAAAUGUUUCAAGAUAUUUUUACUGCUAAUAGGCAUUUCUAGGCAAUAUUGAAGAGGGCUUUAACCGUCGUCUUUCAUCUCAGCUCCCCUAAAAGUCUAUUUACUCUGCUGUCAGCACUUUUAUAAAUCAGUGAUUGUGAUUUUCUUCAUGUUUACUGGGAACAGCAGCUGCAGUAAGCUAUGUGAGGUUAUUUCAAUCAUAUUUCAUCCUUAUCAGAUUUUAAAAACAUCCCCCUAGUUAUUGGCGGACACGGUCAAAGAUGAUGUACGGUGACAAUGCAUAUAUCUGUCACAGAUGUCUCUCGUUCGAGCGCUUGUUGCACUGAAAUCCCAAAAUAAACGCAAUCAAAUCUGCUGUUACUGAAAUACA
ensembl:lncRNA